rnacentral:rRNA from 1 species
UGCGUAGGCGGAUUAGUAAGUCAGUGGUGAAAGCCCGUCGCUCAACGGCGGAACUGCCAUUGAUACUGCUAGUCUUGAGUAUGGUUGAGGUGGGCGGAAUGUGUCAUGUAGCGGUGAAAUGCUUAGAUAUGACCCAGAACACCAAUUGCGAAGGCAGCUCGCUAAGCCAUAACUGACGCUGAUGCACGAAAGCGUGGGGAGCAAACAGGAUUAGAUACCCUGGUAGUCC